AGCGAACGCUGGCGGCAGGCCUAACACAUGCAAGUCGAACGAAGUCUUCGGACUGAGUGGCGGACGGGUGAGAAACAGGUGGUAACGCGCCUUUAGGUUCGGAAGAACUCAGGGAAACUUGUGCUAAUACCGAAUGUGCCCUUCGGGGGAAAGAUUUAUCUCCUUUAGAGAGGCCCGCGUCGGAUUAGCUAGUUGGUGAGGUAAAGGCUGACCAAGGAUACGAUAAGUAGCUGGUCUGAGAGGAUGACCAGCCACAUUGGGACUGAGACGCGGCCCAAACUCCUACGGGAGGCAGGAGUGGGGAAUCUUGCGAAAUGGGCGAAAGCCUGACGCAGCCAUGCCGCGUGGAUGAUGAAGGUCUUAGAAUUGUAAAAUCCUUUAACCGGUGAAGAUAAUGACUGUAGCCGGAGAAGAAGCCCCGGCUAACUUCGUGCCAGCAGCCGCCGUAACAC
rnacentral:rRNA from 1 species